CCUUCCAUAGUGCUGGGAUUACAAGCCUGAGCUGCUGUGCCCAGCCCCAUCUCACCUUUAAAAAAAACAUUUCAGUCAAAGUAGCCAUUCCAUCAGGGAUUAGACUUAGUUUGCUCAUAAAAUAAACUUGUUUUUUUUUUUUAAGGUAGAUUAAUUUUGAGAAAUAUAUCCUCACCACUUCAUCGCUACCUUAAUGUCUUUCUUCCUGCAGUGGUACCGUAAGAGGAGACAUGUUGGAAACAUCUCUCCUUCUACUCAGCCUCACGCCCUGAAAAAUUUCUUCCUGUACUUAUUUCUUCAGAUUGUCAGCAGUGUUUUCUACUUGUCAUCCAAUAGUACUUCCUGACAAAAAGAUGCGUCAGGGUCUUUUUCCCCCUAAAUUGUUUCACCAGUAUUUCAUCCACAUUUCCAUGGUAUGAAGAAGAAGUAAUUUUUAAAUGGUAUGUUACUUUUUGUCUUUUGCUAUUAAGUGAGAAAACUUUUGAAAGGUUUAUAAACAUUUAUGACUAUAUUUAGUGAGCAUUGCUUAACAAGUAUUGGAGUUAGUAUCUUAUGAUGUUAAGUAUUGCUGAACACAUGGUGGAGGUUCGUCUUAUCUUCCGGAUCUGUAGCUUCUGCUAAUUGUGAUGGCUUCACACUUUUCAUUGUGUGUAUCUGAAGAGUGAGAUUCAUCAUUAACCAUGGCGAACACAGAUACCUACUUUAAAAAAUCUUUGUGAUAGUUUCAAAUUUUUUGGCUGACUUAUUGGUAAAACUUAAUGUUUUUUCCUGGCUCAUGAACAGCUUGCACCAGGAACAGAAGUAUCAACUAGUGUUGUCAUUUUUGCUUGCAUUACAGGCUGAAUAUCUCCUCUCUGAAAUCUUGGGACCAGAAGUGUUUUGGAUUUUGGAUUUUUUUAGAUUUUGGAAUAUUUGCAUUGUAUACUUACUAGGUAAGCAUCCUUAACUGAAAGUCUGAAAUCUGAAAUGCUCCCAUGGACAUUUCCUUUGGGCCUUAUGUUGGCACUCAAAAAGUUUCGGAUUUUGGAGCAUUUCAGAUUUUGGCUUUUCGAUUUGGGAUGUUCAACCUGUAUUACAAUUAUCCUUGGUCUGCUGUUUCUUUGCAAGAAUCUUUUUGUUUUUGUUUUUGUUUUUGAGAUGGAGUCUCGCUCUGUUUCCCGGGCUGGAGUGCGGUGGUGUGGUCUCGGCUCGCUGCAAGCUCCGCUUCCCGGGUUACGCAAUUCUCCUGUCUCAGCCUCCCAAGUAGCUGGGACUACAGGUGUGUGCCACCACACCCAGCUAAUUUUUUUUGUAUUUUUUUUUUUAAUAGAGAUGGGGUUUCACCGUGUUAGCCAGGAUGGUCUUGAUCUCCUGACCUCAUAAUCUGCCCACCUCGGCCUCCCAAAGUGCUGGGAUUACAGGCGUGAGCCACCAAGAAUCUUUUUAAGCUACUUGUCCAGUGGCUCGGUUUAGUAAAAACUACCUAAUAGGUAAGCCCUUGUGUCUGGGCACAUACCUAGGAACUGCAGUACAUCUCAAUAUGCUGAAAUCAACUAAACACCCCUCCCACGUUAUCUAACUCCUACACCCCUGCCACCUCCCACCACAGCUUGUGUACUGUACCUGACAUAGGACCUUCUGAUUUGCAAGUGGAGGGAGGGGCUGAUGUCAAUCUAAAUUUUAACUUUUAGCAAAAUGCAAUUUCUUGUCUUUUAAAGAUGAAAAGUAAAUAUUAAUAGAGGUUCUAAUGUCUUCUUCCCAAACCCCAGUGGGUUAGGUUCACUGGUCACUGCACUUAGCAGCUCUGCUUGAGCUACAGGGUCAUGAACUCCAUCAGUCCCUCCUUUGUUGUGUGUGGUGACUGUAUCUGUGUGUGUAGCCUCUUGCUGGUACUGGCCUCCCCAGGAUUUCUUCAUCUUUCUGGUCCCCCUGUGUCCCAAUACAAGCCUCUUUGUCUUCUGUCUGAAUGCUCUGGUUGGGGCUGUUAUUUUGCCCACAGUAUUUGGGUGGAAUAACUUCUUUAAGUUAUUCUUUUAAGAACAGAGUGCCUUUAAGACCCCUGUCACCUAGGAAACAACAGACCCCUUUCUUUUGGGUCUUUCCCUUUCAGACUUCCCCUGGCUGCCAGGAUCUAUCUCUGAGUAUAUCGAAGGAUUUCCAAGACUAGAUUAAAAACUAGAAAUACUUUUUAAGUCCCCUACUCUUCCCCUUCCCAUUUUCUGCCUCUUCCCAUCACCAGUUGCAACUGUUUUUUUAUUUUAUUUUAUUUAUUUAUUUUUGAGACAGAGUUUCGCUCUUGUUGCCCAGGCUGGAGUGCAAUGGUGUGAUCUCAGCUCACUACAACCUCCGCCUCCUGGGUUCAAGUGAUUCUCCUGCCUCAGCCUCCUGAGUAGCUGGGAUUACAGGCAUGCAUCACCAUGCCAGGCUAAUUUUGUAUUUUUAGUAGAGAUGGGGUUUCUUCAUGUUGGUCAGGCUGGUCUUGAGCUCCUGACCUCGGGUGAUCUGCCUGCCUCAGCCUCCCAAAGUGCUGGGAUUACAGGCGUGAACCACCCUGCCUGGUCUGUUUUUCAUUUUAAUAUUGAGGCUUAUGAUAACAGACCAUAUCAUUGCCAAUGAAAAAGAUAUCUGAAGGAAAACCUGUAGUAUUUUAUUGCUUUGAUUAUUAUGUGUCCCGUGAAUGUCUUAUUUAUCCUUUUAGUCUUAAAACAGUAUGUUUGAAAAGUACACUUUCAAAGCAAAUUGUUGUUUCAAUGAUGAGUCAGAUCCCAAAGAGUUCACUACUAUAAAUGGCAAACAUUUGGUUUAUCACCGAGAAAUAAUCUCUUCAGGAUUGAAAUACAAAAGUGUUUGUUAUUUCCUCCCAAGCUUAGAGAUAAAGAAUACUAUAUUAUUCUGAAGAUCUGGGUUGGGAUACUGUAGAUGUUGACCAUGUAGAAUGGAUACACUGCUAUAAGUCCUAAGUACUUGCUGUUCCUCAAAUCUAGGGGUAAGAUAAGAUAGCAAGUCCUACUCCCUGUAGGUAUACUUAAUGUAAGAACCAGAGGACGGUAGAGAUUAGUUAUCUGUGUGGCCAUCCUCCAUACUCCAGGCCAUCCUCCAGGCCAUCCUCCAUACUUCCAUGAUUAUCUUCAUAAAACAUAACUCUGCCCAAGCCACCUACCUGCUUAACAGCUUUUGAUGGUUCUCUAUUGCCCAAGGAAUAAAGUCCAAACCCUUAGCUUGCAGAUAGGGCCCUUUCCAGCCUGGUUAUAACCUUGCGUUAUCUCUCUCUCUCUCUCCCCCCAUCCCCAUUUCUCCCCACCCUCCUCCAUGUGCGCGCACGCACACGCAAACACACACACACACACACACACACACACACACACACACACACACACACUUUAUACCCUUCAGACCAAUAAUGCUAGGUACCAACAAUGUGGGGUAAGAACUAGAUUUAAACAAUUGAAUAUGAUAAUUAGUCUAUAACAAGGAAAGUGUGUUAACAGAUAGUGGAUGAUUCGGGAAUGGAAGAGUCAGUGAACCACCAAAAUAUUCUAGAAAGUGAGUAUUCACCUUUAUUGGCACGUGGAUCACCUGGGGAUCUUGAUACAAUGCAGAUAGUGAUUCAGUAGGUCUGAGGUGUCUAGGGUGGGGCCUGAAAUUCUGCAUUUCUGACAAAUCCUGGGUGCUGCUGCUGCUGCUUGUUGUUUGCUGCCCACUUUGAGUAACAAGAUUCUAGGGUGCACUGUCCAAUGUGGAAGCCCUAGUCACAUGGGACAAUUUAAACUUAAAUUGAUUAAAAUUAAAUAAAAUUUAAAACUUACUUCCUUGGUAAGCAGUUAAGAUGGUAGCCACAUCUUAACUGCUACAUAGGCUCAUUUGGCUAGUGCCUACCAUAUUGAAUAGUGCUCUAUUUCUGUCAUCACAGAAAGUCCUAUUGGACAGCACUGUUUUCUAGAGCACUAUUUUUCAAACUGUUUUCUACAGACUACCUCUUAAAUCAGAAUCUCUGGGGAUGGGGGUUGGAAAUUUGCAUUUUACAUAAACACCCCAGGGUGCCUUCUGCAUGUUAAAAUUAGAGGAACACUUCUAUAGGGGAUCUAAAAUCUGCUAUCCAGAGGUAAAUUUAAUGUGAGAAUAGGCAAAUAUCACAGACAGACAUGGGGCAGCUCAGCUUAAAUUGGAAUACUCUCUUGCCAGCCAUGAGAAUCAUAUCCAGUUGUCUACAGGUGCAGCAGAUUUUGUCUGGCAGAGAUGACUUCUGACACCAAAGCUACACAGGCAGCCUGGGCAACAUAGAUCUUGUCUCUACAAAUUAAAAAAAUUAGUUGGGCAUGAUGGCACGUGCCUAUAGUCCCAGCUACUCAGGAUGCUGAGGUGGGAGGAUCACUUGAGCCCAGGAGGUUGAGGCUACAGUGAACCAAGAUUGUAUCACUGCACUCCAGCCUGGGCAUCAGAGUGAGACCCCAUCUCAAAAAAAAAAAAAAUGGCUACAUAGGGUGGAGGAAGUAUAGUCCUCAAGCCAGUGGCUUUCUGCAGGUGUGCAGCUGGUCCCAGGUAUGUUCUCUGGUCUCAUAUGCCUUCUUGUCCUCCAAGUGCUAACAUCUGGUGAGGACCACAGCCUACAUCUGGUUUCAAGGAUGACUCCCAGUCCUGGAAGGUACAAUCAACUUAUUCUUUUUCAGAUCAAUUGGAUCUGCCUUUCCUGCCCAGGAACAUAUCUAGGGAAAAUCUUUUCAUUUUUUUGUCACAUUUCAGAUAUAAAAAGAAGUUCCAUUUUCAGGGAUCAAAAAGUUCAGCCCAAUCUUAAAUCAAAAUUUCAUUUUCUUAUCCAGUUUUAUGCUUGUUUCUUUCUUCUAUGUCCCCCUCCUCUCCCAGCUCAGACGUAGUCUUGGUGUAGAAUUUCAUUUUCCUUGCUCCACAACCUGUCUAAUGGCUUUGAAGGUUCUGACAGUCAAGGAGAAAGGCAAAGCCACCUCGAAUCAGUGCUAGUAUAACCUGGCCAUCAGUGCCUUCUGUGUGUCAAAUGCCCAGUGGAUUUUCUUAGAUUUCCUUUGUGGUUUUUAUGGAGAACCUCUGCUGGCACUGUGUGUAUUGUACCAUUCUCUAGCUUACUUCUGACAGUCUCCGCUCAGAUCCUGCCCUGCAGAAGCACACUCCUGAAGUUCCCUAGCCCAGUGGCAGCCUUCUUGACCAAGUCCUUUCAGGAUGACUUGAGUCUAUUAAUAGUUCCACUUGAGGUGACUACUCGACUAAAUAGGUAAUUGGCUGCACGCCAGACUGGAAGUGUCACCUGCUCCCAUGCUACUCUUGAGGGCUGCUCCAGACAGUCCACAACUGUCAGAGUUCUGCUACUUCCCCAAGUGCUGGAAGUCACGUGUCACAUUCUCCCAGGAACUGCUGUUCCUCUCCUCCCAGAGCUAACAGUAGCACCAGGGUGUCUGAUUCUGCCAGGAGGUAGAUUCCUCUUUUGGCAAACACUUCCAUACUCUGAAGCAGCCUUUACUUGGCUUGGAGUGAUGGCAGGGAAUCGUGGGGAGGGGAAGGAAAAUGUCACAGCACCCUUACACUUAUAAGUCCUCUUUCUUCAAAGAGUCUGCUUAAUCUCUUUUUUUCUAAUACAACCUGGAGAAGGAUGGUGGCGGCGACUAAAGAGCCAUUCUGGCUCUCUGUUGGUAAAUCCUGCGUGGAUGUGCAUGUUGGACACCCCUUGUCCUGUACCUACAUCCUUUCAGACCACUUUUUUCCCUCCAGCCAUUGGGUACAGCAGACUGGCUGCAUACAGGUGAAGCCAGACAGCAGUUCUCCUCACCUGCAUGAUUUUCAGCCCUGGAAUGUCACAUCUGAGUGAGACCCUUGCAAGGACCUUCUCAGUCAUUCUGGUGCAUGUACAAACCUGGAAGUGUGUUGUAGUUAACACCUCAAGGGGUAAUGAAUGCUUGGCCAGUGUGGAUUAGAAGCCAGUGGAUAAAUUAUCUUGUCUUCCAACCCUUUGGCAGACAAUUCCGAGGUGUAUUCUCCAUCAUUCCUGAGAGGAUUGUUAGGCUAGUAGCAGCAAACUUCUGUGCCCAUGGUGGGAACCAGGUGGAUAAUUCACCCUCAAAUUGGCCUUCCUUCUGUUUCCGUCUUCCCAGUCCCCACUCCUGUUUUUUGGGGAUCAUUUCCCAAAAUAUACUUUCUGCAUGCAAUUCCUUGUCCCAGGCACUGCUUUUUUGGGGACCCAGUCUAAAACAACAUGUUCAUUACCUCUCUUUAGAAUAUGGUGAUACUUGUCAUUUAUUGUCCUUGCUUUGUGGAAAAUUCUAGACCAAAGGAGAAGUCCCAUCUAACAUCCUUCUGUACAUCAUUACUGGAAAUGAAGAGCUGACAGUCAUAGACUGAUUGCCAAGCAGAACCCCACACUGCUUAACAGCUCGCACAGCAUUCCUGUUGAUGUGUUGUUGCUGAGAGCACUUUCCAGUAAUCUUUCUGCACACAAAUCACCAGCUCAAUCUGUUUCCUGGGGAACUUGAACUACAACAGAAUGAUACUGGGGAGUUUGCAAAAUCAAACUAAACAUAGGCAGCAGGAAGGACACAAAGCAGGGGAGCCCCAGAAAUCUUAGUGGUAGAAACUUUUAAACCUCUUAGGGUACCACCAGGGUAUCUCUGCUCAAUAUUUAAAUCCCUGGAAGGGAGCCUCUGAUUGGCCUUGUUUGGGUUGGGAAUCAGGGCCCUGUGAUUAGAACUACCUGGGGUAGUGGAGAGGAAAGAGAAGCAACCUGUGUCUUCCAGACCAUGGUAUCUGAAGUUUUCUUGGAGGAAGUCAAAUAAAUAUGUGGGUUGAGGAUGGGAGCUCUAAGCAGAGGAUGUGGUGGCUCAUUUAAGAUCACACAUUGACAAAGAGCAGAGUGGUGUCAAGAUUCUGGGACAGAGGCAAGUUAGAAAUAAAACUCUUGUUUUUCCCAAGGUCCAUCAUACAACUGAAAUGGAAGACUAUGGCUUGCUGACCAAUUCUUGCUCAUUUGGGGUUACUUUAUAUAGGGGGAUAAGUGUCCCUUCAGGUGGACUGAGAGUCACCAGAAGAUUUAGUGGAAGGACCCUGCCUCUGGGGAUGCAUAUGUAGCUGGUACUAAUGAGUACUUUCUAUGUAUCAGAAAGCCACCAAAUAUCACUCUUCCUCCCCUGAGUUCAGAACCACCUGACAGACACAGGGGUCAUAUGGGGCUAGGUCGAAAGAUCAGCUUGAUUAAUAAUGGAUUGGUGGAUGUAGCCUGGGUAUACAGCUUCCUAGUACUAGACUCCUACAUCAGAGACAUCCAUUCUCCAACCAUUCACGAGAAGAACUGGCCAGACACCGUAGGCUUUCUCAUUAGGGCAGGAGCUCAGCACAUGGCAUGUCCACACUGAAAGAAUGAGAGGAAAAAAUGAAUGGAAAAUACAGGUGGUAUUGAAGAAAGAGCACUCUUCCUGUGGGGGGUCAGAUCCAAAAUAAAGAAACCAGAUGGGGCUGAAUCUAACAUGCUCUGCUCCUUCUGUGUAACUCACCACCCAGAGUGAGGAGGAGUGAGGGGAGGAGGAGUGAAAGGACAGGUGUGUCGCUCUGGCCAAAGUCCUUCCAUGUGCUCACAUGGAGCUGGGGAAGAGGAAGUGUGGAACAACUACUUUCCAUAUAUUUACAUAUAUUAGCAUAUCUAGUUUCACAACACUAUGAAGUAUCACUGUCCUGAUUUUAUAGAAGAUGAAACUGAGGCCAAGGCCAUCUUCCAAGGAUGUGCUGGCUUGGGAUUUGAACCAAGGAACUAAGUGUCCUCUGAUCUGAAAGCCCAUGUUCUUUUCAGUGCCCUUUACCUGCUCCUCAUUUGGAGUGCAGGGGAAGGGGAGGACUCCUGGCUCUCUUCUCCAGCCCUCACAGGGGUCCUGAAGCUUCCAGCUCACGUUGGGCCUGGUUGCUUGAGUUACCUCAUGUACCUGAGUCUACAAAGGCUUCUAUGGGAAUGUGACAGAUUUGAAGGGGCAGUCACUGGGCCCGUACCAGGAAGGCUGGGAAUAGGGCUCCUUUCCUGUGGUGCUUAGCGUUGGUCUCCCCUGCAGGACCUAUACCCGCUUGCUAGACCAGGCCGUCCUCACAUGGCCAAAGAGGCUGCCACAAAGGCCUCACCUUGCCUCCCACCAGGACACCCUGGGCCAGGGCAAGAGCAGCUGCUUUAGCUCAGCCCUUCAGGUCAGGUCUGCAGUAAUCAGCUCCUUCCAAGGAAGGCUGGGCCCAAUGGGGUCUCUGUUAGCUUAGGCAUGCCCUUUAGGCUUAAUUCUCUCUGGUUAUGAAGCCCCAAGACUCAACCCAUCCCCAGCUGGCUAGUCUAUUCUGUUGGACUCUGACAUUUUCCCCAAACCUGGCUUUUCUCUUGGUUUCCUUACAAGCCUUUGUGUCUUCACCAAGUUGUUACAUUUCUUGCUUUUUCAGUCUCUGCAGAUGUUCCAACCACUACACAUCCCCCUUCUCCCCCUCCAUACCCAUCUUCCUCUUCCUGUCUCCCUUUAUCCUUCUGUCUCUUCUUCCUCCUCUCUUCUUAUUGCUCAUCCCUGACCUCCGCCUCGACCUUCCCCUCUUUUCCUCUCUAAUCCUUCCCCUUGAACCCCAGGGAUAUAGGCCUGUCUGCAGAGGAAAGAUCUUUGUCAUGUGAUUACUAAACCCCCAACAUGUUAUUUGGUAGAAGGCAGCACAAUAGGAGUUUUCUUCUAGGGGCAAAGGGGCUAUAAAAGAUUUCCAAAUAUCAUAGAAAAUCACCUGAGGAUGCUGAGCUCAGGGCAGCUGCAGCAGGGGUGAAGGUGGGUCACAGCCCCCAACCGCCAUGGAGAUGAAAGGUAACAAAAGGAGAGGGGAGAGUUCCAUACCUCAUUUUAUUCUCUUGACAGUUUUGCGCAGAAUUACCCCUGUCUGUAUUAUUAUCACUUGUAAAAAAGCAUUUUUUUCAUACCAUUUAAUCUAUCAGCCUUUUAUUAAAGCCUAGAUAAAAGUAGGAAAAAAAAAUCUCAUCAACAUCAGCCACCAGAAGGGAAAUUUCAGAGACUGAGAUGAUCAGAUUUCCAAGUUUACUGAAAAACCUAUAGAUAACUGCAUGGCUGCUCAUGCUAUUUUAUAAAAUAAGUGCAGCCAGGUGAGCCAUUUAAUAACGUGGGAAUUGUCGGCUGUGCGGAUAGUGGACAGAGCAUGAGCUCACCUCGUAAAGGCGUAGGCUCUCGCGGAAAUGAACACUGCGGCACACUGCGGGCCGGCAGCACAGCGUCACUCUGUAGACUGAGCCUCCCAGCUUCUCGGGAGCCGUCCACGGUGCAGCCAGCCACUAUGGGACACAGUGCCUAGGUCUUUCCAAGAACAGUAGAGCCCACACUUAUCCCCUCCCAUGUCAGCCACACUCUGGAGCUCACAUUUGGAGUAGUGAAAGGCUUUCAAAGGUAUUUAAUCUCACCACAAUCAUGAGAUAGGUAUGAAAACCCUCUUUUCCAAAUGAAGAAAUUGACCUCCACAGGAGGGAAGGAACUUUGGUGAAUCCACAGAGUGGAGUGGCGGUGCUAGGGUGAUUACCUAGGGGUCCAGUUCCAGUUCCUGUUCUCCUUUUGCUCCAUUGGGCUUAUCCCAUCACCAAAAACAGUCUAGAGCCGGAGAUGUUAAAGAAGCCACCCUUUGACCUGCAGGGUAAGUGUGUGAGAAUUGGUGGGUGGGUGGGGAUAGGGGAGUCAGGUUUGGGCAGUAGAACGGAGGAGUAAUGUAUACUCUAAAUAGGUUCAUUUCCUGACUCCCCCACUUAUCUGUGUGACCCUGUAUAUGUCACUUAACUUCUCUGUGCCUCUAUAAAAUGAGGAAUGAUAAUAAUAUCUACCUCAUAGGUUUGUGGUAAAGGUUAAAAGAGAUAAUGGAUCAAGCAUUUAAUACAGUAUAGUAAGUUGGAUAAAUGGUAUAGAGUUGGGCCCACUUUUGGAAUCAAAAGGAAUUUGUAAAAGUGCCUCACACAUGCCUGUCCUGUAGAGGUGAGCAAGUAUUUUCAAUCCCUUCCUGAUAUCUUUCCUGUGGCUAAGAAUCCUUACAGGCACUUGGGACCCCUGCCUUCCUUGCUGUGGACUAGGAUGCCUGUAGGUACCAGGUUAGAAGAGUUGCUUCUUGGAAUUGCCAUGUGACUGUACAAUGUGCUAUCUGUGGCCCUGCCAUUGAUUCACAGUAUAACCUUGAGCUGACCUCAGUCUUACCUGGAUGGGCCUCUGUUUCCUUAGUUAUAAAGGGAUAAGGACAGAGCUACGUUUGAGGAAGUGUAGUUUGUGAACUUCUACAUCAGAAUCAACUCCAUUGUUGAUGGCUGAAAAUGUUGAUUCAUGGGCCUUGCCCCAAGUUGGCUCAAUCACAAUCUCUAAUGGUGCUCUAGAAUGUAUAUUUGUAAAAAGCCCUCUCCACUUGCCCCAUGCCCUGGCCUAACUCUCAGAGAUUCUGAUAUAAUUGACCAUUAAUACAUAAUGAAAGUAAAUAAUGGAUUAAUAAAUUAAAAAUUGAUUUACUUUUUAACUUUGGUUGUUUUUAAGAUUUUCCCAUUUGUUUUUGUUUUUUAGCAGUUUUACUACAUGUGCCUAAAUGUGGUUUUCUUUGAACUCCUCUAGGGUUCAUAACACUUCUAGAAUCUGUGAUUUGAUACCUUUUGUCAGUGUUGGAAAAUUCUCAGUCAUCAUGUCUGUAAAAAUUGUUUCUGACCCAUUUGUUGUUUUCCUCUCCAGGACUCCAAGUACAUGUAUGUUGGACCUGCUUGCCAUGUCCCAUUAUGUCCCAUACAUGCCCCUCUACUACCACCUGUAUUUUCCAUUCAUUUUUUCCUCUCAUUCUUUCAGUGUGGAUAUUUUCUAUUGACCUAUCUCUGAAUUCACUAAUCUUUUUAUCAGCUGUGUCUAGUUUGCUAUUAAACCCAUCUAUUUAGUUCUUAGUUUUAAUUAUUGUAUUUUUCAGUUCUAGAAUUUUCAUUUGAUUUUUUAAAAUAGAUUUUAACUCUUUGCUAAAAUUAAUUUCUUGGACAUAUUAAUCAGUUAUUUUGAAAGUCUUUGUGUGAUCAUUCCAACAUCAGAGUCUCCUUAGAGCUUUUUCUUUCUAUGUCUAUUUUUUCUCUUGGUUUCUGGCCUUGCACAUCUCCCAAUAUGCUUCAUAAUUCAUUUAUUUAAAAAAAGUUUGUUUUUUUUUUUUGAGAUGGAGUCUCACUCUGUUGCCCAGGCUGGAGUGCAGUGGCGUGAUCUCUUGGCUCACUGCAACCUCCACCUCCUGCAUUCAAGCGAUUUUCCUGCCUCAGCCUCCCAAGUAUCUGGGCCUACAGGCACAUGCCACCACUCCUGGCUAAUUUUUUUUUUUUUUGUAUUUUUAGUAGAGACGGGGUUUCACCACGUUAUCCAGGAUGGUCUUGAUCUCCUGGCCUCGUGAUCUGCCCGCCUCGCCUCCCAAACUGCUGGUAUUACAGACAUGAGCGCCACCACACCUGGUCUUGUUUUUGUAACUUUUUAUUGAAUGUCAGGCAUUGUGUAUGAAAAACUGAAGAGAGAAUUUGAGCCUCUGGAUGAUGCUAUUUUCCCCUUAGAGCAUUUACUUCUUUCUGCUUUUGGAAGUCAAGAUAGGGGCAGAUUGUUAUAAUCCAGUCUGGGAUUGAGCAGAUUUGAAGCCAGUCUUUAGUUUUUGUGAAUACUGGCUUAUUUGGGUUAGUCCUUAUUCCCAGGCUUCAGGAGUUCCUUCUGAAAGCUUGGGUUGCAUACCAGGGCCGCUCCUUUUUGGUGAUGGCUGCACUAUUUUUGUUUCCCCAGGAUGGUGGGGCAGCAAAGCUCUGCUUAGCUUUGUAGACUCCUGGCUGCCAGUUUCUACUUCAUUUCUCCUCUUGGCUUCUUCACUGAUCAGUUUCUACAAAGCACAACUUCUCAGCUUUUAAGUUUUUCUUAAGAAUCAACAAAUGCUUUGAGGCAAAAAGCUGUGCCAAAUAUCAGGUUCAGUUCUGUGCUUUCUUUCUCUCUGAGAUCUUGGUGCCGUAAGACCUCACCACAUUUGAUAGCUCUCUGAUGCGUUCAAACAGGGCAUUUCUAUUUGUUCUUGGUAGUAGAGUUGAUCUGAAUAUAUUAGCCUAUCAAAGGCAGAAAUGGAACUCCCUGAUAGUGGUUUUUAAUCUCUUUGGGUGAUUUGAAUGUAAGAUGCACUGGACAAAAUCAACUCCUUGCCACAUCAUAAGAACCACCUUAGUCUGUUGUUUAAAAAUGUUGAUUUUUCUGGUCCUAUCCUAGAUGUACUGAACCAGAAUUUCCAGAAAAAAAAGACUGAUUUGUUGUGCUAGCAAGUGCUUCUGACAAAGGCACACUUGAGAAGCACUGAAUAAGUGGCUCUUUAGAGUCCUUCUUGCUCUGGUUGCAUAUUCUGGUGACCCUAGUGACCCCACCCACCCAAUGAACCCUGUAUAUAUAGUGGCAGGAAGGAGCCUGGUUAUUCUGAUAUGCAGAGGGGCAGCAUGCUGCCUUUACCACCACCUUCGACUUUAGUUUGCAUUCUGUAACUCUCUCCAAAGAGAGAGUGGUAGCUCUCUUUGCUGAAUUAUUUCUAAUUUUUUCCAUGGACAUUUUAAUCAGAGAUGACAAAUGACUGGUCUUUUGCUAGCAGUUCAAUCUAAGAGGAAGUUAUUUGCCUCUUAGAGGUACAUUAAUUUGCGAUGGCUUUCAUGCAGAAGGCAGAGGGAUAUUGUGGAAAGGGACUUGGAUUCUGGGAAUCAGGUAUAAGCCCAGGGUACUUGGCUUGGGAAUUGUAGUAGUCACUUGCCCCUUCCCUUCCUCCCUCCACUAAUGUAAGUUUCCUUUGCCUGCUUGAGGGUAUCUCCAAAUUAGGUUCUUUUCCAGCUGCCAGUGGUAGGACUAGAGUGCAGUUCUGACCCUGGUCUCUGGAACCCUUUCUCACCCCUGCUGGCUCCUCUCCAGUGGAUUCCCCACUGUCCUGCACCAACUCCCUCCCCUUCGUCUCUCACCCACCUCCUUUUCUCCUUUUCUUCUCUUGUCCUUCCCUUCUCUUCUCCUCACCUCCACCCCAAUCUUCUUUCCCCCGUUCCAGAAUCAGAACAGAGGCAGUAGUGUCCUGUUGUGGACCCUCCCUCAACUGCUUCAGCCUUCUCCAGGACCAGCUGUCAGCAGAAGUGGAGCUCAUGCAGGAGGGCAAAAUGGUCCAAUUCCUUUUCUCAGGGCUAUCUAGCAAGACCAGUUCCUGUGGUUCUCUCUGGCUCAUGUGAGGAUGCUUCCCACUUUGGAGGUCUAUGGUUGUCCUAGUCCGUGGCUACCCAGUAAGUGCUACUCAAAUCAGUAGGAAAACAAUGAAGUGUGCCCAGUGGUAAAGGGGCAAAGGACAUAAACAGGUAAUUCACACAAGAGGAGACACAGAUAGCCACAAAUAUAAGAACUAUUUAAUUUCACAUUUCAUCAAAGAAAUGCAAGCUGAAACCAUGUGAGUAGUAAAAAAUAAUCAAACCAGUUAAGUUUGGGCUAUGAUGCAGGGAAAUGGACACUCAUACUGCUGGGAGAGUGUAUGUUUUUUAGUCUUUCUGGAGAGAAAGUUGGCAGAAUAUAACAAAAAUCUUAUAAUUUUCUAUGACUUUUGACCCUGUCAUUCUACUUUCAGGAAUUCAUCCCAGUGAAAUAAUGUAUGCGAUUUGCAAAAGUUCUAUACAAGUAUAUUCAGCAUGAGGCUGUUUUAUUGUAAUAGUGAUGACUGCUGCUACCCAGUGAAAUACAACCAUACAAUAAUAAGGGGUUGCUACAUUCAUGCCAGUUGUACACUCUGUUGUCAUUAAAAACAUCAUACACAAAUAUUUAAAGAGGAAGAAUGUCCAAGCUCUUUUUUAAAAAAAUAAAAUAAAAGCAGUGUAUCACAAUAAUUGUAUUUUGGUGGGGAGGAACCAGCAUAGAAAAAAGAUCAAUGGAUGCAAAAUGUUACCAUGUCUGUCUUGUGUGUUUUAUCAUACACAAAAAUCUAAGUAAUAUGAUUAUUAAAAAAGAGAAGAAGAAAACAAAAAUACUGAUUCCUAGCAUGUAGGAAGACUGGCCUGCAUUCUAGUCCUGAAUUUGCCUCUUGUUCUCUGUGAGGCUUUGGACGGGUCACCUUGGCUCUUUUGAUGGGCAGUUUCCUCAUCUAUAAAGCAGAUCUGGCCACGCGUAGCAGCAUUCAUGUCUGUUCAGUGCUUUACCAGUCCCUUUGCUAACCAUUGUUUUACUUUGAUCUCACAUCUGUGCCUUGUAGAUCAGCACUUUGUGGGCUGUUGGCUAUUUUACUAUCACUUGAUAAUUCGGUAUCUCCAAAUUAGGUUCUUUUUCCAGCUACCAGUGGUAGGACUAGAGUGCAGUUCUGACCCUCGUCUCUGGAACCCUUUCUCACCCCUGCUGGCUCCUCUCCAAUGGAGAAACUAACCUUAUUUUCAUGUACUGUGAUACAAAGAAAAGCUUCUUAAGGGUUAUUGGAAGGCAAGCAUUUGAAGGAACUAGAGUAGCCUGGCUAAUGACCUGGUGCAGUGGCUGAGUUACAGCUGGUCUGGAGGGCAGAUGAUCCACAAGGUUGGGUCUGGGGUCAGUUAGUAGUUGAGGAUGGGGAGGUUGGGAGCAGGUCAAGGCGGGACCGGAACAGGCCUAGGAGAAGUGUUGAAAAAGCCAGAAAACAGUGAUUGAGAGAACUGCUCCAGGUUGAGGGGAUGCUCUAGGAGUGGUAGCUUUGCUGGAGGUUCAGCUCAGGGUCCUGGAGGUCAGAUACCAGGACUUGGAGGCCUCAAGAAAAGAGUGGGGAGCCAGCCCAGCAGGGCUUAGCUGGGCAAAGGAGAGACGUUUUUAAGGUUGUGAGCAGGCAUGACAGGCACUACUGGAGAGCCCAGAAACAAGGAUUAGGCACGUGCAGGCUUACGUGCAAAUUGCAAGUCUGCAUUUCUGUAAAACCGACAACAAUGGAAAAUGUGUAAUAGAUGGACCAAUCUAAAGAUAGUCUGGAAAAAUGACCUCACUUAAGGAAAAAUCGAGCAGUUAACUUCCUGCUCACUAGCAGGUCGAAGCCUAAUCUUUAAAACUGAUGUCCUUAUCUCAGAGCUCCCUAGGUGAUAAUAUUAGCCCUCACUGACAUGGUCUAUCUUCUCCGUAAAUACCUUUCCCUCUAACAACAACAAUAAAAAUGUAGCUUUCUAGCCCACGGGGCUGUUUUUUGUUUCCUAAUAUGCCCUGAACUGAACUCCUUGGUUUAUGGAAGAAGCUCAAUGUGAAACUGCAGAUCGACUCUUUUAUCACAAUCCUUUUAAUUACUCCACGUACCCAAUUUUGUUAUCCAAUUAUGGGUAAGAUUAAAGUUCAUCAAACUACAU